AAGUCGUAACAAGGUUUCCGUAGGUGAACCUGCGGAAGGAUCAUUAGAGAUAUAUGGAAUAUAAUUCCGUAAAACACACUCCGAGUACGUGUUCUUGUUGCUUCCGUGGGGAGCGAGCGGAAUAGCUUGCGCCCGUCCUAUGCGGUGGAUCCACGGAGGGUACCAAUAAACUCUGCGAUUUACGUGAAAUCAGUCUGAAUAUGUUUAUUCUAAUAAGAAAAAACUUCAAAACUUUCAACAACGGAUCUCUUGGUUCUC
rnacentral:misc_RNA from 1 species